AUUGAACGCUGGCGGCAGGCUUAACACAUGCAAGUCGAGCGGGGAAGGGUAGCUUGCUACCUAACCUAGCGGCGGACGGGUGAGUAAUGCUUAGGAAUCUGCCAUUUAGUGGGGGACAACAUUCCGAAAGGAAUGCUAAUACCGCAUACGUCCUACGGGAGAAAGCAGGGGAUCUUCGGACCUUGCGCUAAAUGAUGAGCCUAAGUCGGAUUAGCUAGUUGGUGGGGUAAAGGCCUACCAAGGCGACGAUCUGUAGCGGGUCUGAGAGGAUGAUCCGCCACACGGGGACUGGGACACGGCCCAGACUCCUACGGGAGGCAGCAGUGGGGAAUAUUGGACAAUGGGCGGAAGCCUGAUCCAGCCAUGCCGCGUGUGUGAAGAAGGCCUUAUGGUUGUAAAGCACUUUAAGCGAGGAGGAGGCUACUUAGAUUAAUACUCUAGGAUAGUGGACGUUACUCGUAGAAUAAGCACCGGCUAACUCUGUGCCAGCCGCCGCCGUAA
rnacentral:rRNA from 1 species